rnacentral:rRNA from 1 species
CCGUAGGCGGUUUAGUAAGUCAGUGGUGAAAGCCCAUCGCUCAACGGUGGAACGGCCAUUGAUACUGCUAAACUUGAAUUAUUAGGAAGUAACUAGAAUAUGUAGUGUAGCGGUGAAAUGCUUAGAGAUUACAUGGAAUACCAAUUGCGAAGGCAGGUUACUACUAAUGGAUUGACGCUGAUGGACGAAAGCGUGGGUAGCGAACAGGAUUAGAUACCCUGGUAGUCCACGCCGUAAACGAUGGAUACUAGCUGUUGGAAGCAAUUUCAGUGGCUAAGCGAAAGUGAUAAGUAUCCCACCUGGGGAGUACGUUCGCAAGAAUGAAACUCAAAGGAAUUGACGGGGGCCCGCACAAGCGGUGGAGCAUGUGGUUUAAUUCGAUGAUACGCGAGGAACCUUACCAAGGCUUAAAUGUAGAUUGACCGGUUUGGAAACAGACUCUUCGCAAGACAAUUUACAAGGUGCUGCAUGGUUGUCGUCAGCUCGUGCCGUGAGGUGUCAGGUUAAGUCCUAUAACGAGCGCAACCCCCGUUGUUAGUUGCCAGCGAGUCAUGUCGGGAACUCUAACGAGACUGCCAGUGCAAACUGAGAGGAAGGUGGGGAUGACGUCAAAUCAUCACGGCCCUUACGCCUUGGGCUACACACGUGCUACAAUGGCCGGUACAGAGAGCAGCCACUGGGUGACCAGGAGCGAAUCUAUAAAACCGGUCACAGUUCGGAUCGGAGUCUGCAACUCGACUCCGUGAAGCUGGA